UCUCCGUAGGUGAACCUGCGGAGGGAUCAUUACAAGUGACCCCGGUCUUACCACCGGGAUGUUCAUAACCCUUUGUUGUCCGACUCUGUUGCCUCCGGGGCGACCCUGCCUUCGGGCGGGGGCUCCGGGUGGACACUUCAAACUCUUGCGUAACUUUGCAGUCUGAGUAAACUUAAUUAAUAAAUUAAAACUUUUAACAACGGAUCUCUUGGUUCUGGCAUCGGAAGAACGCAGC
rnacentral:misc_RNA from 1 species